AUUGAACGCUGGCGGCAGGCUUAACACAUGCAAGUCGAACGGUAACAUGGGUGCUUGCACCUGAUGACGAGUGGCGGACGGGUGAGUAAUGUAUGGGGAUCUGCCGAAUGGAAUGGGACGACAGUUGGAAACGACUGCUAAUACCGUAUAAUGUCGCGAGACCAAAGUGUGGGACUUUCGGGCCACAUGCCAUUUGAUGAACCCAUGUGGGAUUAG
rnacentral:rRNA from 1 species